ACAAGGGUCUGAAUACCAGGAAGUGGGAUCACUGAAGGCAUCCUAGAAGCUGCCUAUCACCUGGAUGCUUCAGCUUCACAGGUGAGCAGGAGUUAAUCGGGUGAAUAAGAGGCACAGGGGUGUCGUUCCUGGGCAGAGAGCAGAAGCACAGGUAUAGGAGGACACAUGCUACUUUAGGGGAAAGCGGUGUCCCAUGGGGCUGGCACAGAGAUUGUGUGUGUGUUUGUGCACAUGUGUGCUUAUGUGCACACACCUGUGGUUACAGGGAGACACGAGAAGAGAGAGAGAAAUCUAGAGCAUGCAUUUGUCACAUGGGCGAUGUUACCAACAGGGAGAAAAAUUGGUUCUCAUGGAGAGUGAAAAAUCUUAGAUUUUACAGUGAUUGAUGGUUCUCCAGAACUCAACCCUGUAAAGUAUACCUGUGAUGUUUAAUUUUCACGAGGAGAGUCUCGGUUGAUUAGGAAAAAACUGUCCAACAGUACCCCUUGGGCUGGGGGUGACAGUGAGAAAAGUCAGGAAAUAUUGGUCUAGAGAAGUCAGAGGAACAUUUAGUGAGUACUUGUAAUCUAUCAGAUGACAAGUGUUUUAUGCUAAAGUGUUAAGCAUGUUGUGUGCAACCUAUGAUUCCAUCUUGUAACAACCCUGUAUCCUCUGCAUCUUAGGGAGAAGGAAAGUGGGGUAGGUGGUUCCUGACAUGGCCCCCAAUGAUCCCCAUCCUCCGGUGUUUAUGCCUCUCCCCUUGAAUGUGGGUGGGCCUUGUCACCUGCUUAUAACAGGUGGAAUAUGGUAGAAGGUAUGAGAUGUCACUUCUGUGAUGAGACUAUGAAGAUGGGUUUUGUUUAUGACCUAAUCAUGUAAAUGGCACUCUCUUCUGGCACUUUCUCUCUGGCUCUUCUCAUGAAGCAAGCAGGAGAGACCUAUGUGGGUGGCAAGGAACUGAGGGCACCUCCUGCCACCUAUCAGCAAGAAGUGAGGCCCUCUGUCCAACAGCCUCUGAUGAACUGAAUGCUGCCCACACCACAAGGGUGAGCUUUGACGUGGAUCCCUCCCCGGUCGAACCUUCAGGCAAGACCGCAGCCCAGGCUGACACCUGCCCUGUGAUGGAUCCUGGGCAGAGGAGCCAGGGAAGCCACACCUGGAUCCCUACCCCACCAAAAGUGUGAGGAAGAAUAAAUAGAAGCACUAAGUAUGCUGUGGAAGCCCGCUUGUUUUUGGAGGCACCUUGAGGCUACCUAGAAGGAACCAGGGGGCCAGGGAGUAGCUGUUGGUGCUGACGACCGACCGUUUGGGAAGAGCGUUCGGGGUGGAGAAGCAGCGUUUCUGCUGUUCCUUCGGAACUGAGUUAGACCUUGCCAUUGGCCUCAGGAAGCUUCCCGUUGACUGUCUCCCGGAGACACUGUGACACAUGCAAGCUCGGCAGCCAAGGCAGGGACGAUACACUUUUGGAGUAAGGCAGGCUCCUUCCUCACCUCUGGACCUCCACUCUGCUCCGCCUCCCCUGACUCUGUGUCUCAGCUGCCGCAAGAGGCCCAUGGGUCCGUUCACCGUGCUCCACCUCCAAUGCCACUACCCUCUCUGAGCUGCCCGGAUGACGAGGAUGGUCCGUCAGCUGUGCGCCCGCGGCUCUUACUGGCCCCCGCACCAGAGUCCACGCUGCAGCUAGAGUGACCUUAACACACGUGUAUGUCGUGCACGUCGAGCAGCUCUCUUCUCUGCAUUUAAAAGUCCUCCUGGCUUCCCAUGCCCUUGGGACAGGAUCCCGUGCUUGGCCCCAGAGGCCCUCUCCCGCUCGCAAGUGCCCGUAGCACCUCUCCCACCCCAUCGUGCCCUUCUUCCUCCCCCCCUCGCUGUUUGAACUCCAGCCACCCUGCCUCCUUCCCUUCCAGGAGGGCUCAGGGUCUCUCCUGUCUCAUCAUGGGUCAUGACCGUGAUUGUCUUUCUGUCUUUCCCUCCUUCCUCUGGCUUGUGCUUAUCCAUUCUGUCCUUGGGCGGGGUCGGGGGGGUUGCUGCUCCCCAGACUAGGCUGAGACCCUCCUCCCAGGCUUUCCCAGUGCCCUGUGUGUCUCCAUUACCACCAUGCACCCUGAGGGUUUAUUGGCAUACCUGUCUUUUCUGCUAGACUCCAGCAACUGGACUGUGGCUG